rnacentral:rRNA from 1 species
GACGAACGCUGGCGGCGUGCCUAAUACAUGCAAGUAGAACGCUGAAGAGAGGAGCUUGCUCUUCUUGGAUGAGUUGCGAACGGGUGAGUAACGCGUAGGUAACCUGCCUUGUAGCGGGGGAUAACUAUUGGAAACGAUAGCUAAUACCGCAUAACAAUGGAUGACACAUGUCAUUCAUUUGAAAGGGGCAAUUGCUCCACUACAAGAUGGACCUGCGUUGUAUUAGCUAGUAGGUGAGGUAACGGCUCACCUAGGCGACGAUACAUAGCCGACCUGAGAGGGUGAUCGGCCACACUGGGACUGAGACACGGCCCAGACUCCUACGGGAGGCAGCAGUAGGGAAUCUUCGGCAAUGGGGGCAACCCUGACCGAGCAACGCCGCGUGAGUGAAGAAGGUUUUCGGAUCGUAAAGCUCUGUUGUAAGUCAAGAACGAGUGUGAGAGUGGAAAGUUCACACUGUGACGGUAGCUUACCAGAAAGGGACGGCUAACUACGUGCCAGCAGCCGCGGUAAUACGUAGGUCCCGAGCGUUGUCCGGAUUUAUUGGGCGUAAAGCGAGCGCAGGCGGUUUGAUAAGUCUGAAGUUAAAGGCUGUGGCUCAACCAUAGUUCGCUUUGGAAACUGUCAAACUUGAGUGCAGAAGGGGAGAGUGGAAUUCCAUGUGUGGCGGUGAAAUGCGUAGAUAUAUGGAGGAACACCGGUGGCGAAAGCGGCUCUCUGGUCUGUAACUGACGCUGAGGCUCGAAAGCGUGGGGAGCGAACAGGAUUAGAUACCCUGGUAGUCCACGCCGUAAACGAUGAGUGCUAGGUGUUGGAUCCUUUCCGGGAUUCAGUGCCGCAGCUAACGCAUUAAGCACUCCGCCUGGGGAGUACGACCGCAAGGUUGGAACUCAAAGGAAUUGACGGGGGCCCGCACAAGCGGUGGAGCAUGUGGUUUAAUUCGAAGCAACGCGAAGAACCUUACCAGGUCUUGACAUCCCGAUGCUAUUUCUAGAGAUAGAAAGUUACUUCGGUACAUCGGUGACAGGUGGUGCAUGGUUGUCGUCAGCUCGUGUCGUGAGAUGUUGGGUUAAGUCCCGCAACGAGCGCAACCCCUAUUGUUAGUUGCCAUCAUUCAGUUGGGCACUCUAGCGAGACUGCCGGUAAUAAACCGGAGGAGGGUGGGGAUGACGUCAAAUCAUCAUGCCCCUUAUGACCUGGGCUACACACGUGCUACAAUGGUUGGUACAACGAGUUGCGAGUCGGUGACGGCAAGCUAAUCUCUUAAAGCCAAUCUCAGUUCGGAUUGUAGGCUGCAACUCGCCUACAUGAAGUCGGAAUCGCUAGUAAUCGCGGAUCAGCACGCCGCGGUGAAUACGUUCCCGGGCCU